AAAUCCUCGAGCCCAGGAUAUCCCGACCCCACUAGUGUACCCCGACUACCCUUGUAAGUUUAAGGAGCACUUAGCCGUGGCGACUGCUAGGGAAUUCGGCCUGAUGCCGAACUGUGAUAUUAGGUCUCCGGGUAAUGAGGAUAGGGUAGCUACUGCCCGGGAGGGAGAGUUCGUCAUUUUCAAGGAUUCUUUAAAGGGGGGAUUUAGGUGGCCAUUGCACCCCUUUUUCCUCGCGCUCUUGACCGAGCAUAACAUGAGCCCGGGGCAGUUAGUGCCGAACGGGUGGAGGAUGUUGACUUACUUCUUUAUAGCUUGUAGAUACCUCGGGAUUAUCCCAUAUGUCGACUUAUGUAGGAUGGUCUUCGACCUAAAACAACUCCCCCAGUAUUCUUGUUUUGCUUACCUCUCAACUCGAGGAGGGUUUAGAAUCCCGAGGAUGCCUAGUUCCCUGAAGGGGUGGAAGGAUAAGUGGUUCUACGCCAUACCUCAAGAUCCCGACGUUCCCUUUAGUCCUCGGUGGGGGGUUCCUGAUACUGCUAGGUUUUGUGGGGGUCAGGCAUACUUUGAAUCGUUGGAGAGGCAUAGGCAAAUGCUAGAGGAGCUCGAGCCCCUCGUUUAUGACUUGGAUGAUAUCCUCGGGGAUGAUAUCCUCGAGCUUGCAAACAUGAAAGGAAUCGAGGGUAGGAUAUGUGAACUUGACGCUUAAAAUCCCGAUCUGUAUUCUUGCUAUGCUCGUGCUAAUUACAUGUAAUUUUUUAUUUUUGCAGAAAUGACGUUCGAUCCAAGUGCCCUUCGUCAGGCAGUGAACAAAAAGUCCAAGGCUCCCCAGGCCCGGGCUCCCGGCCAGAGGAGGGGCCAGAAGAGACCUCGGGAUUCGAGGCAGGAAAGGCAGACCAGUGGGCCUGGGGAAUCUUCAAGGCCCCGAGGACAGUCUCCGGGAAUAGUCAGGAUGGGAUCUCAGCAACAGGAUCAUCUGGGGACCCCUCGGGAGUCUGUUCCUCGGGGACCUGUUGACGUGGUCGACCUCGAGGAUGGAAGCCUGCCACCGGGGCCUGCUAAUCCCGAGGGAUGCUCUCGGUGCCAUUCAGUGCUCAGCAUCGUCGACAAAUACCGG
rnacentral:lncRNA from 1 species